rnacentral:rRNA from 1 species
UACAGAGGUCCCAAGCGUUGUUCGGAUUCACUGGGCGUAAAGGGUGCGUAGGUGGUCGGGUAAGUCUGAUGUGAAAUCUCCGAGCUUAACUCCGAAAUGUCAUUGAAUACUAUCUGGCUGGAGGGUCGGAGGGGAGACUGGAAUUCUCGGUGUAGCAGUGAAAUGCGUAGAUAUCGAGAGGAACACCAGUGGCGAAGGCGAGUCUCUGGACGACUCCUGACACUGAGGCACGAAAGCCGGGGGAGCAAACAGG